ACGCGAAUCAGGCGACGGUUUAAAUAUGGAUUUUUUUCUUGGCCACGAAAUCGCGGCGACCGUGUCGUAUAAAUCAGGAUUGAUUUUCAAAGGGAAUCAUGGGAGGUCGAGCCGCAGCCGCGAUGUCCCUUUUAACUCCGCAUUUGUUUCCGGCGGUAAAUCUAUAUUUGGCUAAUCGAACCGACGCUACUGCACACCGCGCCGUUUCCGCUGCUUUUUCGGAAGCCGCGACCAAAAGAUCGCCGUUUCGACUUUUCACGCUUUCUGCCUUCCGUUAGUCAACAAACUUUUUCAACGUUACGUCGAGUUACGACAGUUCACUGACCUCACCUUUGUCGUUGGUGUUAGAAAAUCUUUUUCGAUUCGUUUCUAGUUACGAUCGAUUGUGACAGAAUUAAGAUUAUUCUGGUAUUUGGCAAAUUAUUGUUAAAGAGUAGGUUAACGAAAGGAGUUUAAUGGAGACAAAAACAUUAGGAACUGCGGUUACGAAUGUUUUCAAUUUGAAUGCCCGAGAUUAUUCUUUAUGUGUAAUCCCGAGGAACGUGUAAUCCCCAUGGAAUCGGUAACUGAGCCGCUCUUACGGUCGAUGCACAAACUAGAUCGACGAUACUUAAACGGUAAAGCAUCCUAAUCCUCGUGAAACGCGCAGAGGCUAAUGAUCACAUGCAGCCUGCAGUGUACAUCGCAAUAAACUGGAUACGGACAAGUAAUGCCUUCAUUGACAGCUUUUCGCUAAACGUUUCUAGCAGUUCUUUAAGGUAUAUAUACGUAUCAUAAAUCAACAGUAAAUUUAAAUUGACUACUAUAAAACGUUUGCCGUAAUAAUCGAUUCUUUCUUUUAAAUGUUUACAUAAAAUUCGUCCAUGUAUUUUA